GGAGAGGUGGCAGAGCGGUUGAAUGCGGCGGUCUUGAAAACCGUUACCCCGACAGAAUCGGGGUCGGGGGUUCGAAUCCCUCCCUCUCCGCCA
rnacentral:tRNA from 1 species